GUUGCAAUGAAUCGGCUCACAAGAGGCACUACAGCUAUUGACAGAUCUACUGGAAAGGGUCAAGAACACCCUGUUUUGCAGCCUCCUGGAGCUACGGAUGGAAAAGAUGUUGAGAUGGACAAGACUGCA